AUUGAACGCUGGCGGCAGGCCUAACACAUGCAAGUCGGACGGUAGCACAGGGGAGCUUGCUCCUCGGGUGACGAGUGGCGGACGGGUGAGUAAUGUCUGGGGAUCUGCCCGAUAGAGGGGGAUAACCACUGGAAACGGUGGCUAAUACCGCAUAAUGUCGCAAGACCAAAGAGGGGGACCUUCGGGCCUCUCACUAUCGGAUGAACCCAGAUGGGAUUAGCUAGUAGGCGGGGUAACGGCCCACCUAGGCGACGAUCCCUAGCUGGUCUGAGAGGAUGACCAGCCACACUGGAACUGAGACACGGUCCAGACUCCUACGGGAGGCAGCAGUGGGGAAUAUUGCACAAUGGGCGCAAGCCUGAUGCAGCCAUGCCGCGUGUAUGAAGAAGGCCUUCGGGUUGUAAAGUACUUUCAGCGGGGAGGAAGGCGAUGUGGUUAAUAACCGCGUCGAUUGACGUUACCCGCAGAAGAAGCACCGGCUAACUCCGUGCCAGCCGCCGCCGCCG
rnacentral:rRNA from 1 species